rnacentral:misc_RNA from 1 species
AAACUAACAAAUAAAUAAGCAGACAUCUUUCAGUUCCAUCUCGAUCUAAAAUCUAAGUUCUACCUCCCACAAUAUCCAUUAUCCACAAAGUAAAUGAGAUGGUCAACUUAAUAUAGUCAAUUUCAGCCCAAAUCCUAAUAUCAAGAUUUAUAGGAUUUACACAACAAAAGCUAGUAUAGUUUGAUGCGUAAAUCAAAUAGUUUGCUAAGUUCUAGAUUCCAGACUAGCCUGCGAACUGACACAAAAAGAAGUGAUUUCUUCAGAUCACAGAUAUGGCUAAUGUCAAAGAGUAUGUUUUGCAGCCUGGUUUUGCAGUUGAGGUCACUAUAUUCUACUCAAUUGGUUCUUUCUCUGGGACCACCAUAAACUGAUAGCAACCGAAUAACGUGUGGACAGGAGAGCAAACCACAAAGAGUGAUGUCAAUGUCUAAACAAUGGACACAGUUACUGGGAGUUAUGUCACAAAAUGGAAGAUAAGAGACAGUCUUAUGAGGAGAGGAAGUGAUGAUAGUUCCUCUUUCACAUAAUUAAGUUUUAUCCUGAGUAGUAUACAGUUUGAGAGUGUCAAAGCCACAUGCCAAACCUGAGUUAAAUUCCCCAAAACAAGUGUAUUUUGAUGUCUAGAAGAGAGAAAAAUAUGGAGGGUUUUUGGUAUUUAAGAAAAUUUCAGUUUCCCAAGCUUAGUGUUCCAGUAACUUUCCCAAGCUUAGCAGACAUAAAUGUUACAUUUUAAUAUAUAUGUUAUUACCCCAUUGACGAGGCAUUGAGAAAAGAAAGGAACCAUCAGCCCAGUUGUCAAAAUCAUAUGCUAAUAGACUAAUUCCUAGAAAUACAUGCCCCCACAAUUCUCAAAAUUUCAACUCAGCCCAACAGAGGAUUUUUCUAUGAUUCUACUUAAAUAUUAGUGCACAAGCCUGAUGCUUUGACACUUUGUAAUAGUGCAAACAAAUCAAAGAAGAGGGACGUACUUGAAGAGGUACUCUCGCAACAUUUUGUCCAUAU